UUCUGAAAUUAAAUACGCCCCUUAAUUCUGUGUGAGGUCAAACUUUCCCUCACAGACUUCAUCUGCUUAACGCGAGCGGCUGCACGCGGUGAUGCUGAGGAGACCUGAUCCCCUUUUCUCGGCCCUGUUUUAAGAACAUCACGGAACCUCCUCAUUUUGUGGAGGGGGGGGGAAGAAAAAAAUAGAAUAAAAAAUAAAAGGGGGUUAAAAAAUGAGCAAACGGAGGAUGUUUUCCUCACAGAAAGGGGAGGGGGAGGCAGGCGGCCGCGCGGCACAGCGCCGCCCGCGGUACUGCAGGGCCCCGCCCGCUGCUGCUUCACAAAAUGGCGCCCGGCGGGGCCGCGCCGAGCGGUGCUGAGGCGACAAAAUGGGGGCGGGCGGGCAGCGAGGGAAGGGCCUCAGGGCCCCUCGUUCCUCUCCCGUCUCGUUUUGAGGUGUUUUUCCCCUCGCAGCGUGAAGAUUUUGGGGUCGGUGCUGCUCUUUCCGUCCCCUCCACACGCACGCUCCCAGGGAAAUGCAGGAUUGUUUGUGUAACUCCCACUCUGCAGCAGAUAGCUUCUCUGUCACCAUGACUUCAAAAUGCACAGUCCAAGCAGUGAGCAAGGAGAGCAGGCCACGAUACCCUGAUACCCCGUAG
rnacentral:lncRNA from 1 species